CCAGACUCCUACGGGAGGCAGCAGUGGGGAAUAUUGCACAAUGGGCGCAAGCCUGAUGCAGCGACGCCGCGUGGGGGAUGACGGCCUUCGGGUUGUAAACUCCUUUCGCUAGGGACGAAGCUUUUUGUGACGGUACCUAGAUAAGAAGCACCGGCUAACUACGUGCCAGCAGCCGCGGUAAUACGUAGGGUGCGAGCGUUGUCCGGAAUUACUGGGCGUAAAGGGCUCGUAGGUGGUUUGUCGCGUCGUCUGUGAAAUUCCGGGGCUUAACUCCGGGCGUGCAGGCGAUACGGGCAUAACUUGAGUACUGUAGGGGUAACUGGAAUUCCUGGUGUAGCGGUGAAAUGCGCAGAUAUCAGGAGGAACACCGAUGGCGAAGGCAGGUUACUGGGCAGUUACUGACGCUGAGGAGCGAAAGCAUGGGUAGCGAACAGGAUUAGAUACCCUGGUAGUCCAUACCGUAAACGGUGGGCGCUAGGUGUGAGGGUCUUUUCACGACUUUCGUGCCGUAGCUAACGCAUUAAGCGCCCCGCCUGGGGAGUACGGCCGCAAGGCUAAAACUCAAAGGAAUUGACGGGGGCCCGCACAAG
rnacentral:rRNA from 1 species